rnacentral:rRNA from 1 species
CCCUUAGAUGUUCUGGGCGGCCCGCGCACUACAAUGGCGCUUUCAGCGAGUUCCUAUGUUGAAUUUUCCUGGGUAUUCUUGGAAGCGGCGUCUUGACUUGGGAUAGAUCCUUGUAAUUGUUGGUUUUGAACGAGGAAUUCCUUGUAAUCGCGGUUGAUCAGCUCGCGUUGAAUACGUCCCUGCCCUUUGUACACACCGCCCGUCGCUCCUACCGAUGAAUCGUCCGGUGAAGUUCACAGAGUGGCGGCUCGUGGAGUUGCUCGCGAAGUGAAAUGGACCUCACGAUUUAGAGGAAGGAGAAGUCGUAACA